AUGAAGCGGAAUUAUGCUUCAGGAAGCCAGAAGAGAAAGGAAGAGGAGGAUAAGAAAAAACAAGAUAGUGCAACACCAUCAACUUCAUCCUCAACAUCAACAGAUGCAUCACUUCUCAGUGCUGAUGUUUCCUCUAUAGCACAAGCUACAACGUCAAUACCAUCUCUCACAGUGGAAGACACUGCAUCCAGAACAGAAAUUGAGUCUGCACCACUUCCCAACACUGAGGUUUCCUCUACAGCUCAAGGUACCACAAGCACUGUCAUUAUAGCUGAUGACCCUGCGCAGUGGCCAGCAGUCCUGACUGAUAGUGUGUGCUGUCAAAUUGUUAAAAAAGGACCAGUGCAAGUCACAAACAUUGUUUUCCCCCAAAAUUCUGAGAAUCCACCUCGAAGAUUCACAAAUGACAAUUACAUGAGAAGCAUGAAUGUCAAUUGAGAGCUUAUGGCACUUAUGUCAAUUGAGCGUGAUGCUCGUGUAAGGGAAACAGGUCAAUUUAGCUCAAAGGGAAUCAUUUAAGAUUUUAAAGGGAAUUUGAACAGAAUCACUGUUUCACGGCUGAUCACUGAAACGGCCAGCGAUUCACUGAACGAGCCGUUUAACAUCAAA
ensembl:lncRNA